GAUGCUGGGGCUUUACAUGUAUAGUAUUAAUGCGCGCACCAUAACCGUACAUCGCAUGUAAAGGCAAUAGGCUAUAAACCGAUGUGUGUAGGCUAUCUAAAUCCAGAUAUUUACCUAUAGCGUAAAUAAUCCUGUGGGAUUUUGUAGAUGAUCCGCGUCUCGUACGGUCAAUUUGAUUCCAUUGUAGACCCACUAGACUAGAUUCCUUUUAUGUCACUCGCUCAAAAAUGUGGCACGGAUUUUACAGUCGUAGGAUGACAGAUUACUCAAGUGUUGUGAAAGCCACUCCUGAAACAAGUGUCAAUGUGAACAUGUGUCAGCGAUGACCGAAGUUGAAGUGACGUAUGCAGACUUCAUAGCCUCCGGUAGAACUGGACGAAGGAAUGCCCUGCAUGAUAUCCUCCAAAGCCCCACUGACCCAGACGCUAGGGAUCUCCCCCUGAGCCUAUCUCAACUCAACAUCAAUCCAACCGGAGCUGACAUGGAAGAAA